GACGAACGCUGGCGGCGUGCUUAACACAUGCAAGUCGAGCGAGGCCCCUCCUUCGGGAAGGUGUCCUAGCGGCGAACGGGUGAGUAACACGUGGGCAACCUGCCCUCAGCUCUGGGAUAACUCCGGGAAACCGGGGCUAAUACCGGAUACGACCUCCACGGGCAUCUGCGGAGGUGGAAAGUUUUUCGGCUGAGGAUGGGCCCGCGGCCUAUCAGCUAGUUGGUGGGGUGACGGCCCACCAAGGCGACGACGGGUAGCCGGCCUGAGAGGGCGACCGGCCACACU
rnacentral:rRNA from 1 species